rnacentral:rRNA from 1 species
UGGGGAAUUUUGGACAAUGGGCGAAAGCCUGAUCCAGCAAUGCCGCGUGUGUGAAGAAGGCCUUCGGGUUGUAAAGCACUUUUGUCCGGAAAGAAAUCCUUGGCUCUAAUACAGUCGGGGGAUGACGGUACCGGAAGAAUAAGCACCGGCUAACUACGUGCCAGCAGCCGCGGUAAUACGUAGGGUGCAAGCGUUAAUCGGAAUUACUGGGCGUAAAGCGUGCGCAGGCGGUUUGCUAAGACCGAUGUGAAAUCCCCGGGCUCAACCUGGGAACUGCAUUGGUGACUGGCAGGCUAGAGUAUGGCAGAGGGGGGUAGAAUUCCACGUGUAGCAGUGAAAUGCGUAGAGAUGUGGAGGAAUACCGAUGGCGAAGGCAGCCCCCUGGGCCAAUACUGACGCUCAUGCACGAAAGCGUGGGGAGCAAACAGGAUUAGAUACCCUGGUAGUCCACGCCCUAAAACGAUGUCAACUAGUUGUUGGGGAUUCAUUUCCUUAGUAACGUAGCUAACGCGUGAAGUUGACCGCCUGGGGAGUACGGUCGCAAGAUUAAAACUCAAAGGAAUUGACGGGGUCAUAGCU